UGUCAGCAGCCGCGGUAAUACGGAGGAUGCGAGCGUUAUCCGGAUUUAUUAGGUUUAAAGGGUGUGUAGGCGGACGAUUAAGUCAGUGGUGAAAUCUCACAGCUUAACUGUGAAACUGCCAUAGAUACUGGUUGUCUUGAGUACAGUUGAAGUAGGCGGAAUGUGUAAUGUAGCGGUGAAAUGCUUAGAUAUUACACAGAACACCGAUUGCGAAGGCAGCUUGCUAAGCUGUUACUGACGCUGAUGCACGAAAGCGUGGGGAGCGAACAGGAUUAGAUACCCUGGUAGUCCACGCCGUAAACGAUGAUUACUCGUUGUUGGCGAUAUAUAGUCAGCGACUGAGCGAAAGCAUUAAGUAAUCCACCUGGGGAGUACGGCGGCAACGCUGAAACUCAAAGGAAUUGACGG
rnacentral:rRNA from 1 species